rnacentral:rRNA from 1 species
GUAGUCUCGCACAGAUGCAUAUCAAUAAGCGGAGGAAAAGAAACUAACAAGGAUUCCCCUUAGUAACGGCGAGUGAAGCGGGAAGAGCUCAAAUUUGAAAUCUUAAAGGGUUUCCCUUUACGAAUUGUAGUUUAAAGAAGUGUUUUCUGUUGAGGUUUUGGUAGAAGUUCUUUGGAAUAGGACAUCAUAGAGGGUGAGAAUCCCGUAUUUGACCUUUACUUUCAACUUUGUGAUACACUUUCAAAGAGUCGGAUUGUUUGGGAAUGCAGUCCAAAAUGGGUGGUAAAUUUCAUCUAAAGCUAAAUAUUGGCGAGAGACCGAUAGCGAACAAGUACCGUGAGGGAAAGAUGAAAAGAACUUUGAAAAGAGAGUUAACCAGUACGUGAAAUUGUCAAAAGGGAAGCGUUUGACACCAGUGUUGUUGUUCUGAAAAUCAAUUAAAGAACUGUUUAUGCUAAGCUGUUUAGACUUUAUCAGCUAACUGUUUAGUUUUGAGCUUUUCUUUAAUGCACUUUUCAGUUAACAAGUCAACAUCAAUUUCUUUUGCUGUAAAAAAGCUUGAGGAAGGUGGCUUGAGAUUCGUCUUAAGUGUUUAUAGCCUCUUGCCUAUGCAGUCGGAGAGAUUGAGGUCUGCAGCGUAGAUCCUUCGGGGCUAAAUGCAUUUGUGCUAAGUUAUAGCAUUUUAUAGACAACUUGUUGACUAUGAUUUGUCUUGUAGCUUACUCGCUUAUGUUAUUUUACCUACGCUUAGGAUGUUGAGUAGCGACAUACGCAC